GGGAUGCACAAGAAAUUUUCCAAAACAAAAUUGCACUUCAGCAGGAUGUAACCUUCCAAACAGAACAGAAAAAAAAAAUGGAAAGACACUUGAGCCGUCAUACGUAGAAAUGAAUGCCAAGAGCUAUUCACUUUUUUCUUUCCAAAUAUCGUCAAGCAUAGUUUUAAAUUUCUUUAGUUAUCUUUAACUCAACAGCAUUUCCCUUGUAUUCUUUCUUUCUUUCUUUUAUUAAAUGGAUGUACAUCUUCCGUUAUUGAAAAUUUUUUCAUGUAGUGACUAAUAAUUCUAGUUGUUUGCGACUAGAAUUGUUGUUUAGGUAGUUUAUAUCAUCCAUAAACAAUUUAAGAAUUCAGUUCUUCCAUGUUUAUGUCAUAGUAUAUUGUUCCAUAGAGCUAAAAUGCAGAAACAGGUGCUCAUAUGAUCCAUUGAAAGAGUUAGGCAGAAGAGUUAUCUUAAAUUAUUGUUGAAAAAUGGAAAUACUUUAUCAGCUGCAUGACUAUCAAAACUAACCAUCUUGCUUGUAUAUCUUAGGCAGCACAUCAUUUCUCUCUGUUGGUGAUAUAUAAUAAAAUUUGCCUUUAAUCACUAGCUUAAGCUUUUGGGUAAAUUGGUAGUUUAAUAUGGUAUCAAAGCAGGUGGUCCAGAGAGGUCUUGUGUUCAAGCUCCUGCAUUGUCGUUUUCUUCCAUAUUAAAAUUGAUUUCCAUUUGUUGGGCCUUUCAAACAUUUCAAGCCCACAAGUGAGAGAGAGUGUUGGAGAUAUAUAAUUAAAUUUGCCUUUAACCACUACCUUAAGCUUUUGGGUGGUGGUUCAGGGAGCCCCUGUCAUUUUCUCCCCAAUUACAAUCAAUUUUCACGUUUUGGGCCUUUCAAAUAUUUCAAGCCCACAAGUGAGGGGAGAAUUAAAUUUGCCUUUAACCACUAGCUUAAGCUUUUGGGAGAAUUGGUUGUUUAAUACUUUCCUUCCCUAUUUCCAUGAUCAAUGCUAUAUACUUUGUAGAUGCUAUCAUCGUACUUCAUUCUAAUGUAAAUGAUUUUAGGAUCCACUUCGAGGCUGCAAUUUACAUGAUGAAUAAGGAAAAAGAGAGUAUUUACAAAGUGGAAAGAAUAUUUGAAAGAUUAGCUACUUUGUGUUUUAUGAUGUUGUUUCAUAAGGAACUCAUCUUCAAUAAAGAUUAAUAAUUAAAAAAAUAAAACAAGUGGCUGGACUUUCUUUGAAUUAAUGGACUUGGCCCAUUUUGGAAAUUAGGCGGCACUUACGGGUGUAUAUAUACACACAUUUAUGCAUAUGAAGAAAGUGUGAGCAUACAUUUUGUGUGUGUGUGUGUGCCGUCAGGGAUAAAGCAGCCAAGAGCUGCAAUUAUAAAGAAGAUAUGCAGAGUCAAGCGUCGUGAGGCUCUUGCCGGAAGAGAAAAAAUACACCAGACGGAAUCUUAUUCCAGCAUGUUAUUUUAGUGUGGCAGUUAGAAAUUGGGUAAAGGGUUUCUCUUAUUUUAUUCCUAGAUACCGAGCUGUGGUAUUUGGAUUCAAAUAGCUUUUGUUAGGCUAUUUAGGGAGAGAUUUGUAAGAGUAGAUUUGGGUGUCUUUUUCAAUCUCCAUCAUAGUAGAACCUGCUGUUGUAGAAGACUGAAAGUAGUCCUGAGUUUGGGGCGAACCAGUAUAAUUUUCUGUGUCAUUCACCUUAUUUCCUACACUUUAUUAUUUAUAAUUUUAUGAUUGAUCAUUUGUUUGGUUGAUGCGAGAAUUUGAGAUAUAAUUUAGUUCCACAUUUAUUUAUAUCUCGCCUAAAUUCCCAAUAGGGCCAAUGAGUCUAAUUCAAAAGAAUUAUUGAGCAUAAAAUCUAAUGGCAUAUGAAUUGAUAAACAAAGAAAGUAGAAUUACCUGGGGAGAUACUUAGCUGAAGCUGUGAAUGUAACUAUUAGAAUUCCUAAACAGACAAGUGCAAUAGCCCAGGCAGCGGUUUUUCGCCUUUUCUCUUCUGCAUUCAUUUAAAUUUGCAUAGAAGAUGUCAACUUUAUAGUUCCGACAAAGAAAAGGUUAAGAACAUAAGGGGUUACUGAGUACUCAAACCAAGUGAAUUACAAAAAACUGGGAUUUUAUUAUUAAUUCAAACAUAUUGUUCAAUUUGAUAAUUUCUGUACAUUAUCGAACACUACUAAUUAUUUCUACGAGUAAGUUCUAUUUGCUACCCAUUAUUCCUUAUGGUAAAUUUUAUUUAUUUUGUUCAUUCUCUGAACUUACUUUUGUGUGUGUGUGUAUUACAUUAAAUGUGGAGUAAGAGGAUAUAGUAACUUUCCUUACUCUUGGUCCUUACCCAAAAUGAUAACCAUCAAACUAACAGUUCGCAGUGCAAUUUACCUAAUCAUUCCUCCUAUACCUAGCAUAACCAUUUACAAUCCUAGGCCAAACAUAUUACUGGUGGAAUUUUGUUUAGCUUUAGUGCUACACUGAAUGCUCUAAUCCUAUAUUAUAUUAUAACAUCUGAUGUAGUAGGAAUAGGGUAUUAUGGUCAAAUCCCUAACUUAUUAGGAUCAGAAUUAGUUUCUUUUGUUUAUUAGGAUUGGGAUUCGUUUUCUUUUGCUAUAAAUAGAGUACUUGUUUUCUUGUAUUCACAACUUUUGAUAUUCAAUAGAAUUCUCUCAUUUGGGUAUACACCAAUCUAAGAGCUUAAGCCAUUAAAAAGAUAAGAAGUUAAAAUUGGUCUUUGUAAUAGUCGUUGAUUGAUGCUUUAAAAGAGAAUUUAAAGGCCUUGCAUUGUAACUAUCAGCAUGUCACAUUACUGCAUAAUGAGUACAAAGUUUAUGUCCAAUCUUUAUGCAUCAAUUGCUUCACUUAAAAAAAAUAUGUUUCUUGUAAAAGUAAGAAGGAACAAGAAGUAGACUCAUUCUAACCUCUAGAUACUUGUCUCUCAAUAAGAGGGUAACUGAGCAUGCCGUUCCCUUCGUCGUUUGAAUCUUGGAUAUUAGUCUCGUGAAAACCAGAUGAAUCUCCAAGAACAUUGCUAUCAGUUUUCUGACUCUCACCAUCCAACUGUGAUAAUGUUGAGUUGAUAGCCUCUUGAAGUGAAGAUGGGAGUGGGGACUCAUGUGGUGGGACAUAUCUGAGUAUCAAAACUGAUAUUGCAACUGUAGUAAAUGCAAGAAGUGUUCCCACACUUACCUGUAAUCAAAGGAAGCAUAUAAGAAAAGAAGUUUGGAUUAGAAUCUCAAUGCAUUCUAUCUACAUCUUUAAUAGAUUUGAUCUUUCAUCUUUCACCAAUCAUAUCAUCUUCAGCUAAUAUGAAAACCUCAACUUACCAUUCCUGCCAACUGCGAAACAUCCAUAAAGAAGGCUAGAGCUGCUGCAAAAAGACCUGUUAUAAUGGUGCCCUUUACUGGAACUUGAGUGUGUUUAUUGAUGUCUGCAAAAAUAGAGGGUAACAAUCCAUCUCUAGCCAUGGCCAUUAGAAUCCGGGGCUGGAAAGUAAAUCCAUCAAAAAUUUAAUUUGUUAUUUGGAGCAGAUUUCUUUCUCACCAAAGGAAUGUGAGAAUUAGCAAUUAAAUAGUUCACAUUAGCAUCAAUGCAAUACAUCCCAAGAGGGAUGUUUUGAGAUGUUUGGGUAGAUCCUAGUUCAAGCUCAAGUUUGGGUGAAAAUUAACAGCUUGUUUCCCAAACGUGCCUAAUCCAAGCCACAAGGAGGGGACCCUACUUCCACAGUACUAAAAAAAACUAAAGUAUUGCCACAAUCGUCAUAGUUGGAGUGCCCUCUUGUAAGGGGAGCUCCCCCUUUCUAUGGGCUUGGUUUUUGUUCUUUCAGUUUUUCUCAAUGAAAGUUGUGAUUUUAUAUUAAGAAAAACAACUAUCUUCGAAAAACUAAUAACUAUACCAAACAUGUCACCAGAUGACCAUCAAAACCAUAAAAAAGGAACCACAAUUACCUUAAUAUCUACCACAGAAAAUAUUGUUUUAUAGAACGUACCUGAGGAAGAAUUGAUCCCAAUAAGCUAGCAAAAAGAGCAGUCACAGCCCCAACCGUAAUCACGUACCUGAGGAUAAAAAUGAUAGCUUUUAAAAGAUAUGUUAAAAAUAAAAAAUAAAUGGAAUAAAAAAUAUUCCGAUAAAUUUCCCUCAGUUGAGCGAAUCCUCACAUGGCCCACUGCACACCAUAGGUAGAAAAUGCAGAGGAAAUAGGGGUGUCCGGAUCCAAGGCAUAGUAUGGCACCAAGCCAACGAUCACCGUGGAAACGAGCAUAUACAAAAUGCUACAGAUAAGCAUAGUGAGUCCUAUGCCAAGGGGCAAAUCUCGUUGAGGAUUCUUCAUCUGCCAAUUUAAAAGUUAAUACAGUGAUGAAAUGCUUGAAACCUAUCAAGAAGCAGACAAAAUGAAACAGAAUUUCUAAAAUCCCUAUUUUCAUGGUUUAGAUCCUUAACCAUGAUCUCUUCCUUGUGAUCUUAACUGAGAAUGACUGAUGGAAGUCGGGUGUAGUAAGUAAUUUCUAUUAUUAAUGAUGAUAUUAUUGGAAUGAAUUCCUUGUUACAAUAUCGAAAUAUUCCUCUCCUGCUAUCCUCUCUUUCAAGGAUGAACAGAAAGAUCUCUUCAAACUCAAAACAUAACCAACUUUCCUGCCCUCUUACUAACUUUUAUUUAUACCAACUACUAACCCUUCCCCUUGCCAAUUCUCACGUGUCAUUCACAUGCACAUGUUACUUCUUUUUCUCUCUCCUGCUGUUCUGGUGUAAGAUAGGGGUCUAUCAUUACACUCCUCCAAAUUCACCUUGUCCUCAAGGUGAAAAUCUGGAAAGCGAUGCUGCAUAUCUUCAUACAAUUCCCAUGUUGCUUCAUGUUGAGGCAGUCCUUUCCAACUUAUAAGCACAUCCCAACCUCUAGCCUUAUUCUUCAAGUAUCCAUAAACUUCUUCAGGUAUGGCUCUCCACUCGUGGUUCUCUGUUAAACAGGGAAUGUCAUCCCGAUUUUCCUUGUGUAACCCGACAACUUUCUUCAGCUGGGAUACAUGAAAAACAGGAUGUAUAGUGGCACUAUCAGGCAAAUCAAGCUUAUACGCCACUGGCCCAAUCUUUGCUAUCACUUUAUAAGGACCGAAAAACUUAGGAGAUAGUUCUUCAUUCCUUUUCUUCCGCAAGGACACUUACCGAUAGGGUCUUAUCUUCAGCAACACCAAAUCUCCCACCUGAUAGUGCACCUCCCUCUUUAGAUAAGCGUAUUUCUUCAUUUUAUCCCGUGCUACCCUCAAAUGUUCCUUCAAAGCCCCAAGCACUACAUCUCUUUCUUUCAACUAUUCAUCCAAUGUCGAAUUCGGUGUAUCACGAUCUCCAUAAUAUAUCAGGGGAGGAGGUAAUCUGCCAUAAACCGCUUGAAAUGGAGUGAUUCCAAGUGAAUGUUGGUAAGUAGCAUUACACCAAUAUUCUGCCCAAUGUAACCAUCUCACCCAUUCUUUCGGUUUUUCUCCACAGAAACAACGCAAAUAACUCUUUACUCCACGGUUCACCACUUCUGUUUAUCCAUCAGACUGAGGAUGGUAUGCAGUACUAUAGUUCAACCUUGUGUCUGCCAACCUAAACAAUUCCCUCCAAAAAUUGCUUAAAAACACCUUGUCUCUGUCCGAAACUAUGGAUUUAGGAAAUCUGUGCAGCGUACUACUUCUUUAACAAAAAGUUCAGAUACAGCCCUAGCAGUAUAUGGAUGUUUCAACGGUAACAAGUGCCCAUAUUUGCUGAAUCUAUCAACCACAAUGAAUAUGACUUCGAACCCAUUUGCUUUCGGUAACCCUUCUACAAAGUCCAUGGAAAUGUCCUCCCAUAUUCGAUUAGGAACUUCCAGAGGUGUCAACAGCCCGGCUGGAGAUAAUGCUAGUGUCUUAUUUCGUUGACAUAUCAUACACUCCUCACAAUAUCUCUUGACAUCCCGUUUCAUUCCUUCCCAGUAAAAUUCCCCCGUCAAUCUUUUAUAAGUACGUAAAAUCCCGAAUGUCCUCCAAAUACUGAGUCAUGGUACGUAUGUAAAAUCAUAGGAAUUAAUUUGGACGUCUUAGAUAUCACCAUUCGAUCUUUAUACAUCAACAUGCUCCGUUUUACUGAGAAAUUGCUAUUUUGAUCCCCUCUCUUCCCUUCUAACUCUUCCUUGAUUUUCUGCAACUUCUCAUCAUUGUUCACCUCCUCUUUGAUAAGUAGCACAUCAAUUAUGUUUGGGGCUGUUAACUGAUUAAAAUGAACCGUAGGUGGCAUUCUAGCCAAGGCAUCAGCAGCUUUAUUCUCAAGCCCUAGCUUAUAUAUCACUUCAAACGAUACCCAAGAAGUUUGGAUAUCCACUUUUGAUAUUGAGGCUGAAUCACCCUCUGUUCCAACAAGAACUUAAGUGAUCUUUGGUCAGUCUUGACCAAGAAUUUUCUCCCCAACAAAUAAGGACGCCACCUCUGUACUGCCAUGACCACUGCCAUCAAUUCCCUCUCAUAUACCGGUUUAGCCCUAUCUCUGACUACCAAAGUAUGGCUGUAAUAAGCAAUUGGCUGUUUAUUCUGUACCAGCACUGCUAAUGACAGCAUUUCUUCUACCAAUUUUUCCAUUUCCGUCUUCUGUUGAUAAGCAUAGCGAUAUGGCCUCACAUUUACCGGAUCCACUCCCUUUUUCAAAUAAAUAUGGUGUUCAAUCGCUCUCCGAGGAGGUAAUGCCUCAGGCCACUCAAAGACAUCCUCAAAACUCUUUAAAACUACUGCUACUGACUCUUCUACAGUCAACUCUUCCUCUAUCGAGUCUCCUUCAUCAAAGGAUUCACUUCUUUCUAAGGCUCUACACUCUACUAAGAAUCCUUGAUCUUCUUCUCCUAAGGUUUUCAUCAGUUUUUUUAGACUGACCCUGGCCUUGGUCAGACUCGGAUCACCCUAGAUAAUAACCUUCUUCCCCUAAUGUGUAAAUGUCAACAUCAAUCUACUUCAGUCGUUCACAAAGAAUACAGCCACUGCAUCCCCAGUAUGGCAUCCACUCCUCACAAUUCCAAGGGUAGAAAUUCAUCCACUACUUUCCAGUCUCCUAACAUUAACUCAACAGCUUCACAGAUACCCUUUCUCCUUUGAUUGCACUAUCUGAGGCCAGAAUGACUCCAUAAUACGAUGUAUCAUUUGUAUUUAGCUGCAAUUCUUUCACCAACUUAUCUGAAAUGAAGUUAUGUGUGGUUCCACAAUCUAUUAAUACUAUAGCCACCUUCCCUUGUAUCGACCCUUUUACCUUCAUUGUCCCUAGGUUGGAUAAUCCUACCACAGAGUUGAUGGAUAGUUCCACCACCGCAUGACUUUCCUAUGUAAUUUCGAUGACAUUUAAUUCCUUUCGAUCAUUUCCUCCUUCUUCGAUAAUUUUGUAUUUCUCACCUUCUUCCUUCACGACAAUCAUACGUAAUUCCUUCUGCUCUUUCAUCUUGCAUUUAUGGUCAUGAGAGUAUUUCUCAUUACAGCGGAAACACAAUCCCUUCUCCUUCCUAGAUUGAAACUUAGCAUCAGAUAAAUGCUUUGUUGGUCCCUUUUUUUGAACCUCCUUUGUCCAUGUUCCUCGUAAGGUAAUAGUUCUCAUCGGCCAAUUCAUACCUCCUUUGUUUUCUCCAAUAUUCGAAUUCGCAUUCGUCUUGGCACUAUUAUAGAGAUUCAUUACUAUUCCUCCAAAAUAUCCGGAAAGAUUCGCUUCCCGCCGAAUAUCCUCCCGAUUCUCAUCAUUUGUGCCAAUCCUUUCGGUUCACAGAAAUUCAUCUCCCCUUGAUUCCAUGGCUUCAAUCCUGACAUAAAUGUUUCCUCCACCACCUUCUCUAAUAGGUCUGACAGAGGUGCUACCCAUUUAUCGAAUAAAUUUCGAUAUUCCUCCACUGUCUUCUUCUGUUGAAUACAUAGGAAUCUUCCAUAUAGAGAUCCCUCCCUCACGGAUCGAAAAUGAACUAACAACCUAUCCUUCAUAUUCGCCCAAUCGACAAAUUUCUCCCAUUCUUCUUGAGAACGAUACCAGUUCAAUGCUGGUCCUUCAAAACUAAUGGUAGCUACAGUCAUUUUUUCAGAUUCAGUGAGUCUAUGAAUUCGAAAGUACCUCUCAGCGCGAAACAACCAAGAAUCGGGGUCAUCUCUAUUGAAUAUCGGCAUCUCCACCUUCUUGAACUUGUUGCGAUCAUUAUUGUUUUCGCCGUCCACUUUCUUGUCAUCUUUCUUUGUUUCGUUCUCCCGUUUUGAAGAUCCUUCGCUUUCGUCUACAUUCUUCGCCGGUGAGUUUCCCAUCGUUAACUUGGAUAAUUUCUCACUCAUCGUGGAUCGGUCCUGUGCUGUCGAUUCCAUGAUUCGUAACAUCACUUGAUUCUGUCUCUCUAUGUUUUUGGAUAAUUCAGUCAACAUCUUCUCGAUCGCAGGUAACUUGCUAAUUUCCUUCUUAAUUCCAUGUAUUUCCUGAUCGAACAUCUCCAUCUUCUCUUUGAUUCGAGUCUGCACCAUUUUCAGUCCUUCUUGCCCGAGAUCACGCUCUCUGAUACCAAUUUGAUGGAAGUCGGGUGUAGUAAGUAAUUUCUAUUAUUAAUGAUGAUACUAUUGGAAUGAAUUCCUUGUUCAAUAUCGAAUAUUCCUCUCCUGCUAUCCUCUCUUUCAAGGAAGAACAGAAAGAUCUCUUCAAACUCAAAACAUAACUAACUUCCCUGCCCUCUUACCAACUUUUAUUUAUACUAACUACUUACCCUUCCCCUUGCCAAUUCUCACAUGUCAUUCACAUGCACGUGUUACUUCUUUUUUUCUCUCCUGCUGUACUAGUGUAAGAUAGGGGGUCUAUCAAUGACAUCGUUAAAUUAACAUAAAUUACAAACGAGAUCAUUUUCCUUUUACAAGAUGAUAAAGAUACAAUCUCAAAAAGAUAAUGGUCUUGAGUAUAAAAUUUAUGUUUUCCUUUUGCGAUUGUUUUAUAUAAAAUGAUAAAAAGAACCCCCUCCCCUAACAUCAAAGAAGAGCUAUACAAUAGAUCAACAUUUGCUCAGAAUAUCAUCCACGAAUCAACAAGAUUCAUAUAAAAAAUGUUCCAUGGAAUUAAUUUCAAGCACAGGAGGAAAAGAAAACCCUGAAAGAGUAUUGUUUAUUUCCCUUCCUGUUAAAAAUCACAUAUAGUUCCAAUAAAAUUGAACCAUGAAAACAUCCUUCACAACUUUCAAUACAUUAGUUUAAAAGUACCUCCUCAGCAGUGCUAGUAAUUGAAUCAAAUCCGAUAUAUGAAAAGAAAACUACUGCAGACCCAGCAAACAUCCCAUUCACCCCAAACGGGAAGUAUCUACAAGAACAUGAGAAAGCCAAAACUAAGGGAUGUGUGUUCUAAGAUAAAUUUAACCACAAACAAAAUAGUUUCCUUUACCCGUUUGGAAGUUCGUAUCCAACCCAUCCAUCUCUGAAACCCAGAUAUCCACCGACUAUGGAAAUGAAAAGCAAAGCACAUACAUUUAUGGUUGUGACUAUCGUUUGAGCCAAUGAACUCUGAAAAAUAACCAUUGUAGUACUUCAUCAUAAACUCACAAAUGAAAGACCAGAUGAGAUAGAAAAAUUUUCAUGGAUCUACUGAAAACACCUUUUUUAUCCCAACGCACAAAAGUGCAGUAACAAUAAAGAUUAAGAUUGCUGCACAUGGAUCAACAACAAUAUCGAGUACAGGGAUGGUAAUACGGGCCAAGAAAGCAGGUAACUUAUCCUGACCUCCCAAAAACAGUGCCUGAAAUUAACAGAAAUGAUAGCAUCAACAGAAAUUGAGCAAGGAGCACCACAAACACUCAUGCAUGACAAAAGUUUAUGAGGAAGAGACAGAAAAAAUGAAGAAAAUAUUCUUCUGUGAAGGUCAUAUCUAAACAUCAGUCAACAUGACUGAAUAACUAAUGAUUUCUCUAUCCCUAUUCCGCCAUUUAUUUAUUUUCAAUUUGUCCCCUCUCCAGUUCCAGUUGUCUGGCCAUGUGAUCUUACUGAUACUGAAUCAAAUUAUUCUGAGACGUGAUUGGACAACUAUGGGAACAUCGUAUGGCCAUGUGAUCUUACCGAUACUGAAUCAAAUUAUUCAUGUUCCAACUGUUAAAAUUAAAAUGAGCAGUCUCGUUUCUUAUUCAGUACAGAGGUUUCAUAGUCUGCAGGUUGAGCUUAAAUACGCAUCUUUUAACUUCUUCUUUCACAUUUAGAAUUGAUAACAGUCUUCUUAUCCAAAAAAAAAAAAAAAAGAAAAGGAAACACAAAACACUAAGCUCGCUUUCAUUAUCUGUUUUAAGAUGGUAGCUUCCAAUAGCAAUGGCAACAGACAGCUAUUGCUAAAAGGAAGUGGAAAGAUGAGCACCAGAAUAAGGAGAGGGAAAACAAAUAUUCAACACCAUGUAUGAGUGGCGAUUUAACCUCUUAACCUUUUUUGAUGUAGGAUAUAAUGCUUUUAAGAAAUUGUGGCAUGCUCAAGUUAGCAGUUUUUUAUUUAUUAUUAUUUAAGAAAAAAACAUUCUUCAAAAGUUCUAUAGUCUUGUUAAUUCAUGCUAAUAGUCCAGUCUCAAGUUUAAGAGCAAGAGUGUCAAUAAAUGUAAGAAGUUUUCAUGAUACCAGAUUGGGAGUUAUGCCACGAGCCACCGUAGAACCACCAAUUGUCCAUUCCAAAAUAAGAGCCCAACCAACCAACCAAGCAACUCUGAGAGUAAUCAACCACACACAUUAAAGAUGUUGCAAAUAUGCUGGUAGCAGCUUGUAGACAGGAAAAAAAACCCUCACACACGAAGAUCUUUUAUUCCUUAUCCGAAAGAAAACACAUUAUUUUAGGUUAAUAGUAAAAGAGAAGCUUCACUGUCGUUCAAUAAUUAUCUUGCCUUGAUAGAUACAAUUUCAGGUUAAUGAGGCCAGUUACAAAGAAAUAAACGGGAGCUUUGGGUUGUGGAAUCAAACCCAUAACAGAUAUUAAAAUUCUGAAUUUUCUAACAACCAAAUGUCCUAGAGACAAGUAGUUUUCCUGUGAAAUUGGUGAAUGUAUACGUAAGCUAGCUCAGAUACUAAUGUUACUAGAAAUUUUGAUUUUACUUUUUCCUUUAGCAGUGAUAAAAGAUUUUGUCAUACCCUUCUCCAACACAAAUGUAUGUAUAGUGAUAGGCACUCCCUGCAGAUGGGCACCGACAUGCAAGCUCUGCAUAACAAAAUGCUGAGAGUGCAGCAGCUACCCCAGCAAUUAAGAAUGAUAUUGCAAGAGAAGGUCCAGCGUGCUCUCUGGCAACUGUUCCAACCAAGAUAUACACUCCAGCUCCAAUUGUAGCUCCAACUCCUAUGAGGAGGCAAAGCAAUCAUCACACACCAUAACCUUUUUUUUUAGUUUAACCAACUAAAAACACUAGGCACCCAGUAGAUAAGGAAGAAUUUGUUUUGUUUUAGGAGACAUUCAAAUAACAAAAUCAAGCUGACAUCACAAAAUUCUACAGCACAUUGGACAACAUAAGCAACUUAAUUCCCAGUGACAUAGCUCAAUUUCAAAACAUGGCAACCGAUAUUGUCCUAGGAAAAGAAAGAAGCUAAACAAAAGACAAAUUCAAACAACCAUUGAACAUCACCCCUACCCAAUCCUUCCCAGAAAGCAAACUACAGAAAGGAUAAACACGAGAGGCCCCAAAAACUCACCAAUGGCAACAAGGUCAAUUGCUGAUAAUUUCUUAGCAAGUUGAUGAUGAUUCUCCCUCGUUACAUUCUCAGAAUCCACCUGUUUUCUCCUAACCAGACUUUCGAAAACACCCGAUAACCUUCUUCCAUAACCAACAUCCGAAUCCCCCGAACUCUGGCUACGAACCAGCAUGUUAUUCACAGAGCGAGAUGGCAAAAUUAACUGUUUUUAUCACUGUUCUUAAAAACCCAUCUCCAGUUUUCAUCAAAAGUCCAAAUGGGUGUCAGAAAUAAUUGAUAAUCGGAUUCUUUAUCUACACUCUUCCCAAUAUAACACCAUACCCCUUCUAUCCUACAAACCCAUUAAACCUAACAGACCAUACUGUAAAUAUUUGGUACAAAAUUUGGAAGAAGCUUAUCUGCUUUGAAUUUGAUUGAAACUUGAAACUGGGAUACCUUCUUUCGCGGUUCUACCAACUUCAAUGGCUGUCCCUCCUUGUUUGAUUCUGUUUUUGCGGCAAACGAAUAAUUGGGAUUAGAAUAUCAAAAAUGUCAUCGAGAUUAGUUUAGUAGUAGUUUCCAUUUUUGUCAGCAAUUGCAUGCAAAGUUUGAUUUUCCAUUUCCGUCCUCCACUUGAUUAGCUCCGAAAGAAAGAAAAAUGUGGGAUUAAAAUCAUUUCAAAUCUUUCAUCUAUAAAAAGAAAUAAAAGUCAUCAAUACUUGGGGCCAAAAGAUGUUUCUUUUAUUUUCAUUUUACUGUAAAUAUAGUAAAAAUUUAUAGGGAAUAGGGAUAGAUUUUAUCCUAAAUUUUGCUACAAGAAUGUUUUUUUUUUCCAAGUCUUAAAUUUUAAAUUUUGUGUGAAAUAAACUUUAAACAUAUUCAACAUAUUUAAAAUUCACAACAAGCCAAGAAGAGGAAAUAGAGGUACAAUCUUGUAUUAUUAGCACUAGUGGAUGAAGAAAAAAUUAAAGUAUUGGUUUGAGUAACAGGAACAUGGAUGAAAUUAAAUAAUAAGUAAAACAAAUAUCAAAGCAUUAUUUUUUUAAAAUAAUAAAAGAAAUUAUUUACACUUUAUGAAAAAGAACCUAAUUGACAAAAACCACAGACUGAUCUUGUAGGAUAAAUGUUUUGUCCAUUUUAACAUUUUUACCAUUCUUCCUUUUAAAAAAUAGGAAAUAAAUUAAAUUUAAAUCAAAGUAGUUUGGGAUAAAAAAUUCUCUCCCGUUUUUUAUAACUUAAUUAUUAAAUGAAAUUAAAAAAACUAACAAAACAAUUGCUAAUGUUAUAAAUUUAAGUAAAAAGAACCUAAGACAAGGACAGUAUGGGUCCAUGCCGGGAAUUUUGCCAUCAAGUAAGUAAGCUUCAAAGAGAACUUUGAAUGCUAACUUAUUUAUUAGAUUUGGUCGACUCCAUGCGUGUUAGUACUUUGACAGGACAGAUAAGGCCGACGGUACGAGGGAGUUUCUUAUGCCAACAUUAAAUAAAUUAAGAAUCUAAUAGAUAAAAAAGUAAUAAUAUAAGUCAAUCAUAACUUUUUGAAAAACUUAAUAAAUAAAAAAGUUAUCUUUUUUUUAAACAUCGUAACCCGAACUAAAAUAUUUAUAAAUAUAACAAAAUGACAAUGUGUAUCAAUGAUAAACGUUAAUAAAGUACUAUCAUUCAUCAUGAACAAUAUUGACAAAUGUUUAUAAGUAUAUUAAUAUCUAUCAAAUAUAUAUAAUAUAUUUUUGCUAUAUUUAAAAAUAUUUUCAAUUCUCUUACAAGAUUAUAAUUCUUGGGUUAAAUUGACAAAGUAAUUAAAAACUUAAUAUAAAUAUAUAAUUGAGGUAAAAAAAAAAAAAAAAGAAUACUAGUCUUUUGAUAGGUUUGAAUUUUAUUGUGUGGUUCCUUUCUAUUUAAAGUAUUUUUGUAAGUGGAGAAGGAUAUGGAAUAUGUAAGAUCAAAAUGAAUGGUUAUAAAGAGGAUAAGUAUUGACAAAUUUGUAAUAUAUAUAUAUAUACUUAGUCUUCAAUUUGGGAAAGACUUUGAAUAAACAAACAACAAAGGGAAAAAUAAUGAAUUUGUAUGUGAAUCUUGGGAUUGGGACAGAUUUAAUAAUCUUAUUUAUAUCUAUAAUUAUCCAUUUAUGAGGCAUUGGAGGAGUGGUUGAUUCCAAAAUUUUAUUGGGCUUUGUUUAAAUUUUGAUUUUAAAAAACUAUAUAAGUAAUCAAUUUCAAAAUGCAUAAAUUAAUUGGACCAUAUAAUUUAGCAUAUCACUACUGCCAUCUACUAAAUUUUUUAUUAAGAAAUUACUCUAAUAGUAUAUAUUAUCUAUUUUGCCAAAUUAACCUCUCUUGGAGGAAGAUAUUCUCUCUCCAUCCAGAUUUUAAAAGAAUUUUCUUCUACGUUCAAGUGAGGGUGGAGAACAAUAUAUUGUUAGAGAAGAGAAUACAUUAGUAAGGUAUAUAUGUGUAUGUAUGUAUAUUCCUCUACUUAAUUGAAGCUAAUCAUAACCACCAAUCAAUCUUCUUUUUACUCGUUUUAUCUCUUUCACGGCUUCUUUCGUUCUCUUCAAUUUUUUUCUAUGACUCCAACAAACAAAUGUGUGGAAAAGGUAUUUAGACCAAAUCCGUGACCAAAUAAGAGUUAAUCCCUUAGGAGAGAACUUUCUCAAAGAACAAUGUUAUAUUUCAAAAUGUAAUCAAAAGGUGUGAGUACAACCCUAAAUUGGAUAUUGAUAAUCUUAGAAGGAAAUAAAACUAAUUAAUUUUACAAAUACUAAUUAAACUAAAUUAAGGAUUAAUCCAAUCAAAAUUGAUAAGGGUUUUUAAAAAACUAUAACAAACCGGUAAAAAAUUCAUACUAUAUAGACACUACUAUAAGUUUGGUCUUUUUUUACACGCAUAAAUUUUGAUUUUUUUAUGGCCAUGGCAAAGGAUAUUUUUUCUUGAUAUAAUGUUUAUCUUGACAGUCAUGUACGUCAAUAAAUGUCACCUUAUUUUGUUGAAGAAAUACGAAAAACAUAAAAAAUGUAGAUUUUUUAUUUUGUCCACAAACAUCAAGAAAAUUAUUUCUCGAUGGACAAUAAACAUCAAAGAUAUAUAUUAGUUGACUGACGAGGCCCAUUAAGAAAUGAAUUUUCUUGAUUUGCAAUGGUCAUCAUCGAAAACAAUUAAUAUAUUUGUUUUAAUUUCUUGAUGGGUUUAGAAUUUUCUUAAUUGGUUUAGGAUUUCUUGAUAAACAAAGACAAAAAAAACAAAAAAACAAAAAAAAAAAUCAUGGACAAGUACUAUCAAGAAAAAACUAUUUUCUAAGAAACACGAAAUUUGGACCCUCGUUAACAAACUUAGAAAACACUUUAUUCAUCAAUAAUAUAUUAAAGCUUUACUAUUCUUUUUUCAAUUAUUGUUGUCUAUACAUCAAUAAUACAAUAUUAUUUUUUUUAAAGUUAACGGUUGUAAUUAUAAUUAGAUUGAAAUAAGUGAUUUUAUCAAAAUUAAAUUAGUUAUUGUGUUCAACAUUAAUGAGUUGACUUGAAAGUUUGUAAUUAAGGUUUUUAAAAUUUCUAGAAGUUGUAGAACAUGAGUUGAGCUCAACAGACAUCAGUAUGUGUCUAUGGACAAGAGGUCUCGGGUUUAAGACCAAAUUUGUAGUAGUGAGAACAAUUUUGAAAACGAAAAAAACUCACAAGCCCACAAUACGAAAUAUCAAAGCAGAAGCCUCUUGUUCAUACUUUUUCUCUUAUUCACAUUCUUUUCGGCUAAAAGAAUUUUGUUUGGUCACUGGAUUAAAAGGGUAGAAAUUCAAGGAGUUAAAUUUAUAAGAAAGAAAAGAGAAUGGUUUGAAAAAUGCGUUUUUCUCUCACGACGACUUUAUAACGAGAAGAGAUAUAAUGAAAACUUUUGAAGUACUACGCAAUGAGGAAGACUCAUUGAAAGAAAAAUUAGUUAAUUUAUAUAUCUUAGAAGCAUUUUUAAUUCUCAAGCGAAUUAUGGUGAUACAUUAUAAUAUAAAGUUUAAUCAAACUUUAUUAUAUAAAUUUAAUUUUGGAUAUGAUUCAAAAUUAAUUUAUGAGAGAUAAAAUAUUUGAAUGAGUUCAAAUAUUAAUUUUAAUAUGAAUUAAUUUAGUGAAUUUGAUUCAUAUUAAAAUUAUUGGUUAUGAGAGAAAUUUAUAUUUGAACGUGAUUCAAAUUUAAUUUAAAUUAAAUAUAAGAUAUUUAAUUUAACUAUUAACUAAUUGAAGAAUUAAUUAAUAUUUUAGUUUUAUUUAAUUAAAUUAAUAAGAUAUUGGAGAGAUAUUCAUUAAAUAAGAUUUAAAUGAAAUAUUAAUUAAAUAUGAUUUAAUUAACCAUUAAUUAAUCAAUUAAUCAAUUAAUUAAUUAGUUGAUUUGAAAUUUUUAUUAAUUUAAUAUUUUUAAAUUAAUAGAAUCUCAUGAUUCUCUACUACUCCAUUUUCUACUUCGUGAAGGAAAUAAAGUUAUAAAUAUGCAAAAUCAAUCCUUAAGAACUAAUGAUUUUGCUUUUAUGUAAAAUAGUUUCUUUCUAAACAUUUUCUCAUUUAAAUUGGUUCCCAUAAACCAAUCUCAUUCCAGAGGAUAGGAACGUCUCUGACGGGUGGCGUCUCCAAUUUAGUGGAUUGUAGAUUACGAGGCGUCAAACUAAGUAAGUUUUUCCUUCUCUAAUCUAUAAUUAGAAAGCAUGCUUAGCCUUUAAGUUAUAAUAAGAAAAUUAGUUUUUGUAUUAUUUUGUCAAUGUAUUGGUAUUUUGGAAUUUCCAAAUUAAAUUGAGGAAUUAUUCUAUAAAAUCUUUCGCUACCAAAGGCUUUUAUCCCUUCCAUUUUCUUUAAACACUUAGUCAAAAUUUGACCAUUCUAAUCCAGACUUGGGUCUCAUAUAGGCAUAGAUAGAUUUUUAUCUUUGUCUAUAUCAGAUAGGCACAAAUAAAUUUCCAUGUUUUUCUAUCAGGCACAGAUAGAUUUCUUAGGUCUAUGACGAUAGACAAAGAUAAAAAUCUAUAUGUGCCUAUCCGAGGUAGAAACAUUCACAAAAUACUUUUACGAAUAAACUUCUUGAAUUUUUGUGUUCUGAACACAACAUGUUCUUAGCCAAAAAAGUCAAACGAGUCUUCAUUGCAAAAGCAACUUUACUUUGUUCAUAAAACCACUUAAGCACGGUAGCCACAUGUAGUUCUCUAAGAUCUUUAAACACUGAGUUUAUACUUUUCGCAAUUUGAUGUCAUUGUUCUGUACCUUCGUCUUCGUGAAUAUGUUCGAGACCACUUUUCAAAACCAACAUUACUAAGAUAAUCUCUAAUAUUUGCACAAACUGACUCUAUACAUCUCAUGUGGUACUCAAAUUCAUCAAUGUUGUAAGCAUAAAUACAACUAAAGAAAUAUUUACCAAGUAGUGCAUCCUUAAAAUGGAGUUUCAAGUUACUUAAGAGAUGUUUUGUGCACACACAAUACUCAACAUUAGGAAACAUUCCUAAAACUUCUUUAGGGAUGCUAAGAUGUCUAUCAGAAACAAUGACUAAAUUAUCUUGCUCUAAAAAAUUACCUCGUAACUUCUAAAAAAACCAUGUCCAUGAUGCAUCAUUUUUCAAAAUCUACAAUACCAAAUGCAAGAGGGAAGAUUUGAUUGUUACCAUCUUGUAAUGAGGUUGUUAAUAAGAUGCCACCAAACUUACAAUUCAAAAACGUGUCAUCAAUAAAAAUGAUAGGUCUACAAUAUUUUCAUCAUUCAAUUGAUGCACCAAAAGCCAUAAAUCAAAACUUGAAAUGUAACGAUCCAACUCCUUAUACUAAGUUGAGGUCAUUACUACUAAAAUAAAUAACAAUUUUAUUUCAUUUAAAUGAAAAAGAGGAAACCAUUAUUAAAUAAAGAAUUCCAAAUACUCGUUUAUAAUUCAUAAUUUGGAAAGAUAGAAAUAAAUACUAGAAAAUUUAGUCCUAGUUCGGGCUCUAUCUAACUUUUAAAGAAAACAAAUAACAUAAAAGUAAUUCAUAAGUUCGAUCAAUUUUAAUAAAAUGCUAAAAGUCAAAUACUAAAAACAUGGAAGGCGGAAGCAACAUAAAAUUUCCCCUAUGGCAAGUCACGAUUAAUUCUUGUCAUUCGCCAACUUUCCUAUACCUUAACCUCUGACUAAAAAAAUUAAGCAUAGAAAGAGUGAGUAUAAACAUAUACUUAGUAAGAUACCCACUACUAGUCUCGCUAGACGUCUGUUAACUUCUCAUUAGGUCUUGUAAGGAAGUAUCCCAAAAUUAUCGUGCUCUCGAACACGUAAUAUAGUGAUCUAGUAGGAAUACAUCUAGUCUUCGGUGAACACGAAGGAACACCUAAAAGAAUGAGUUGUAAGUGACCCCAUCGAAUCACUCAUAAAACAUAUUAUGACAGACUGGUAGUCUCGUCGAACUCACAUAGUCAUAAAUCUAUGAAAAGGUGGUGAUCCCAAGAGACAUCUAUAUGGAUACAACCCUAAUAGACAAAAUUAACCGAACACCACAGUCCAUAACAUGUAGUAUAUCAUAAAUAUCAUAACAUGACAUGAAUAUCAAUCAUAUAGUCUUUAUCAUGUAAUUAACAUAUUAGUCAUCACAUAUCGGUCAUCUAUAUCAGUCAUAUUACGCAUCUUAGCUACAUCAAUGCAUAAUGGAAAAUACACAUGCAAACUCUUAAUUCUAUUUUCGAAGGUCUAAUAGUAGAAUCUUCUACCUACCUCAAGAUUAGCUUAACAAAAAUUAUUCCAAAUAACCACAGUCAAAGAUAGUCAAAGAUAGUCAAGCAGACAAAUCAUAAACAUAAACAAAACUGAAUUAAUAAAUUUGUCAUCCAAACAUUAACUUAGAUCUCCAAUUUACCCCAAGGCUAAGGUUGAAACCAAAACAACCUUGAAUAGGAACAAUUUCACAAACUACACCUCUUUCCAAAAUGCCCCUGACCUUCAAAGAAACAAAAUCUAAGUUUAAGAAAAUUCAAGGUAAACUCAAGAUUAAUUUACUUAUACCAAAUAAAUUGAUAUUUGAUGGGCAUACCAAAACUCAAUCAAAUACUCACAAAAAAUUAACCAAAAUAGGAAAGUGGCUCAACUUGGCUAAACAAGAGGAAGGGAGGAGGGCGGACAACUCGCAACUCGAGAUGACUCUGUAAGAGGCUUUAGCGCGCACGACUCAGUGAGGACCACGUAUGGCUUCAAUGGAAGAUAAAUAGCUUGCGAUAGAGAUGAGCUCCAAUUGAGAUAGAGAUGAAAAGCGAUGAAGAUGGGCGGUGGCCAGACUUGCUUGAUGGAAGGAACACGAACGACAUGUAAGGCUUUACGAACUCGUAAAGGAGAGGAACGGUGUGGCUUUGUUGAAGCGGAUGAAAAUUGACUGCGUGAACAGUGAGAUGUUCGUCAAACGAUGGUGGUGAACGAACGGAGAUGGAAAUAGGCGUCGACGACUAAGGUUCUUUAUGAGGAAGAAGAUGGAAUGCACACAGAACGAGAAGACCUAUUUAAAAUAUUGUUAUUAUUACUAUUAUUAUUAUUUUACUUUUCUUUUUCUUUUUCCUUUUCCUUUUCUUUUUCCCUACAAAAAUAACUCAAAUCUUCUCUCUUUAUUAAAUUCCAUAUCAAAUCUUUUUUUUUUUAUCUUCUUCCAAAAAUAUAACAUAUUUCCUUAUAUAAUUAUAUUAUCCCCAUAAUAUAAUUAGUGGUUAUCAUUCAACUUAAAUCAAAUAUUUCACAACAGCAAAAUUUUUAAUUUUAAUAAUUAAAUAAAUAUUUUUUCGAUAAAUAUUUAAUUAAUCCUAAUUUUUAUAGAAUCAAACAAUUCUCACCAAAUAUCUCAAAAUAACAUCCGAAAGAUUCCAACAUAAUUAAAUUAGACCAAAAUAAUUAAAUUGAAAAUUAACUUCUUCUUUUUUUUGGUGUUACCAGAAAUGACCACUAUCAUUCAUCUCUAAAGCACCUAUAAAAAAUAUAAAAUAUUUUUAUGAACAUCAACAAAAGGGAACAAAUUGACUGUGAUAGAUGUUAAUAAUUGUCUAUUUAAGUUAGAUUGUGAUAUUUGUCUAUCCUCAUCUAUCUGAAAAUGAAUGUAAAUUUGAUAUAGAAAGCUAAUCAUACUUGGGUUUGAUUCAACCAAUUGAUCAAAGAAGCUCGUAAUCAACAUGUGCAAUUGUGUACCUUUAAAAUCUUUACUUUGUGUUCUUUUGCCCUCCAAGCUUUUUGAGAACUUAUAUUAACUCCAAGAUUUGUAUGAGCCUUAUGGAUAAUAACUUUUAGAAUGAAGCAGUCGGUGGGCAUGAACCUAAAAUCAUCUAUCAAGCAACUGGCAAUUACUAUUAAAGAAGCAUAUGACGACUUUAGAUAGUAUUUUGUGAACAACGAUGGUUAGAAAUGUAUUUCCGUAGUAUCCACCGCUCGCUCUUCUUAUUAUUAGAUAUCCUAACAUACCAUUUGCACCCUUCUUGUAAACAUCUGAAUUCAAGAGAUCUCAAAUUUGAUAUUGUAGUUCUAAACUGAAAGUUUUUCUUCACAACUAUUACGCAAAAACACUUUGAAAGCACUUAUUUACUUUCAAAUAAUUUUUUUCCUUCAAAUCACCAUGAUAAGAAAUCUCUUUUAUAAUUACAUCAUUUGAAACAGAAGAAGAACCUAUAUGCAACGACAUCUCAACAUUCUCCAGUACACUACUAGAAGUAGACAUUUCCAAAGAAUUAACACUUACAUGAGCAACUAAUAGAUGUCUACUAGUUGAAUCUUUAGCAAAAGCUAAAUACCAAACAACAUUAUUGCCUUUUUUUAUUAACAUCAUAGUUUGAACAUUGCUUUUACCAAAAUCAAGUAGAACAGAUAAUUCUACCAAACUAUCCAAUUGAAUCUCUUCGUUUAAACUAACCAAACAAUUAAUGUUGAUUUAAACAUCUACUAAAAUUCCAGCAACAGAGUAAUUCUCAUAAACAUUAUAUUCAUUCCAUUGACCUCCAUACAAAAAAACCUAUAGGAAUAGACAUUGUAUUAUGUAAAAAGAAAAUAUAAUUAAGUAUUCAAUAAUGAUAGAAAGAAAUAGCUAGACAUAGAUAUACAUCUAUCACUUAAUAAAAGAAUAAAAUGUAAAAACACAAUAAUAAUAAACAUAAUGCAAGAAUAGACGAUUGUGCAAUGAAAUAAUAUACAAUAAACGAUCAUGUUGACUGUGAUAAAUGAUCGUGUUGACCAUAGCAAAGGAUAUCAUUGAAUGUAGUAAAUGAUUGUGUUGACGUAGGUAGACUACCGUUUGACCAUGGUGAUCGUAUUGAAUGUAGUAAACGAUCGUGUUGAUGUAAGUAAAUGAUCGUGUUGAUAAUGUAAAUGAUCGUAUAUUUCAAUAUAAAUGAUUGAGAAAAACAUCAAACUAACCAUCUCAUAAUUAAAUACAAAAUUCUUACACUAUAUUUAAAUUUUCUAAACAUUUGAAAAAAAAAAAAUAGAACUUUUUACCACAAACAAAAACAAAAACGAUCUUCAUACUGAAAUUUAGAAUUCUUAACAAAAUUUAUAAUUCUUAAAGAAAUUUUAUAAUCUUCUAAACAAUCAAGACAAAAACGAUAUUUAGAAUUCUUACUGAAAACAAACUCAUUGUAACGAUCUUGAUAGAUGAGUAUAAAUGAUCUUGAUAUUGUCGAAGGUGAGGAAUAUGAAAAUGAAUAUUUGAGAGGAAAAAAAUCUAAAAACACAUAUAAAUAAAUCACAAAGAAUGUGAAUAAAUCGCAAAGAAGAAUAAGAGAGAACUAAAAAAUCGUUCGACAAUAAUAAAAACCAAUAAGGGCAAAUAUAAAAUUUAUGAAAAAAUAAUCAGACUCCAUGAGCUUUUCUUAAAUUAUCAUACGAGUCUAAAUAUUUACCAUUUUUGUUAUAUUGAUGUAAAUUUACCAAUUAAUAACUUAAACAAAUAUUAAACUAAAAAUAUACUAAUUAUCCUAUAACUAAUCUCAACUUUUUCUUGGAAGAUUCCAAAUCAAUUCAAAUUCUCAAUUCUUUUAAUUAAUCAAAUAUUAUCUAAUAAAUUAGUUAUUUUAAAUUUUCAUAAAUUUCAACAUGAAUUAUGUUAACCCAAUAAUUCAAUUUUACUCAAGAUUAACACUUAAAUAAUUUAAGAUAAUUAAUAAAAAAUUCCUAAAAAUUUGGGAGGUUACAAAUUCAUACCCUUAGGCUAUAAUCCCCUAAUCAAGCAUUUAUAAGUUCUUAAGCAUAUGAGUUGUUAUUCUAGUACAAAGUCAUGUUAUAUAGGAAAAGUAUAAUUGGAAUCAAUUUAAACCCUUUCUAAAGCACUAAUAUGUCAUUGUAAAGGAGUGUGUAUGGUGUGCGUUGUGGAGUUAACUUUGGUAUACUGUUAGGAUCAUCCUCAAGGUUUGUGAAUAUUUUGACUCAGUUUUGGGUUGUUUGGUCACUAGUCCCUUGAUUAGUUUAAUUUGAGGGUGCAAACUCGAUAACUCGAAAAAACUUGGCAAACUCCCACUAAAUCAUUAGGAUUGGGGUUGGAGUUGAAUAGCUUUUGGAUUAGAAUGAAUUGUAUUUUUUUUUUUUUUGGAAAUGAUCAGUUUGGUUUGGUUUCCAAGUUCUCACAAAACCCACGCUAGAUUAAGUUUAGAAUAAACCUAAGACUUGUAUACCUCAUCCAAGUGCUCUUCAAUUGCCAACAUAGGAAAAUUAAGAGAUCGCCACAUUGUUGAUAAUGUGAAUCAAUACAGAAACACUAGGCUCAUCCUUCUUCGCCAACAAGAUUGUGUCGAGUAAGGGCUAACAUUAGAUUGAAUAGUUACUGCAGUUAACAUUCGUCCUCUAGUUAUGUUAUCACUGCCUUCCAAAUGUAUAUGUCAUUAAAGGACGUUUAUUUAUUGAAGACUUUCUUUCAAUAGUUGGAUAUGAUGAUUAAUGUCUCUAUAGGGUGGUAGUCCUUUCAACAACUGGAACAUAGCCUCAUAUUCCUUGAACUCCUCGACUAUUGAUGUUGGUGUUGUUGUAAAGUGUGAGGUUACUAACUAAAUAACACAUAAAAACACCCCAACAAUGGCUAAACAGAGACGGUAAUAAGCCAAAAGAUGAUUCACAAUCACAAUAUAACAAAGAAAACACAGCAAAAGAAACAUACCAACUCCUCUCUAUAGAGCUAGAAUAUCUCUUGUCGGCUACAACAGCCUUUACACAUUAAAGAUAACAAAAUGACCUCCCUACAUUAAAACCUAGAAGGUCUAUAAAUAGCCCUCCUCACAUUCCUCCUCGCGGGCCCCACAUGUCCCUACCUUUUUUUCUUUUUCUUCAGACUAUUUAUCUCUCAUUAAUUUCCUGAUCAUUUACCCUUUUACCCCUUCUCUUAUAAGUGUGAAUUAUCGGUGGUCGUACAAUACCCUUGGGCUCUAGAUUCACCUUGUCCUCAAAAAGGUGAAAACUUGGGAAUUGUUGAUUCAUCUGAUACACUAAUUCCCACGUAGCUUCAGUUUCAUGUAGUCCUUUCAAUUUCACAAGCCAUUCAUUGCCUCCCAAUUCUCUAUUCUAACGAACACCUAGCAUAGUUUCAAGCCAUAGUUGUAACUCAAAAUCAUCAGUAAGAAUAGGGUGUUGAUGUUGUAUCACGUGUUUACCUCCUAACUUUAGCUUCAGUUGUGAUACAUGGAAGAUGUUAUGGAUGGCAGCUUCAAGAGGUAACUGUAAACGAUAAGCGACUUCCCCUAUUCUUCAAUGAUCUUGUAGGGUUCGUAGUAUUUGGGAGCAAGUUUUUCACAUCUCCUCUUUGCUAAUGAUCUCUACCGAUAGGGUUCUAAUUUCAAGAAUACUUCAUCUCCUUCCUUGAACUUUAGCUCUCUUCUUUUAAGGUCAGCCAUCUUCUUCAUCAUAUUCUAAGCUAGGCAUACAUUUUCUUUCAAGACACUAAUAGUCAUGUCUCGUUCCUUCAAUAUUGUUUCCACUUCAUUAUUUGGGGUAUUUUGAUCUUCGUAUGAUAACAGGGGAGGAGGUGGUCUGUCAUAUACAGCUUGAAAGGGGUGAUUUUAGUAGAGGCAUGGACGGUUAUAUUCUACCAUAGCUCGACCCAUGGAAUGAAUCUAUCAUAGCGACUUGGUUGCUCAUUGCAAAAGCGUCCCAAGUAUGUCUCCAAACAUUUAUUCACCCUUUCAGUCUGUCCAUCUGUUUGGGUGUGAAAAGUGGUGCUUCUCUUCAAGAUGGUUCCCAUAGCAGCAAACAACUCCUUCCAAAAAUUACUAAGGAAUAUUUUGCCUCGAUCUGAUAUUAGGGAUUUUGGAAUUCCAUGCUUGCUCACUACCCUAUCUAUAAACAGAACAGCCACCUGUUUCGCUGAAAAAGGGUGUUUGAGAGUUAUGAAAUAUGCAUACUUACUAAGCCUGUCCACGAUCACCAUAAUAACAUUCGCUCCCUCGAUGUUGGUAAGCCUUCUAUAAAGUCCAUGGUCCAGUCCUCUAAAAUUCUUUAUGGAAUGGGAAGAGGCUGCAAAACUCCCGCUGGUUUGGUGGCUUCAAACUUGUUCUUCUGACAGACAUCGCAUUGCUGCACAUUUUUUUAUACAUCUGUCUUCAUGCCUUGCCAAUGCAACUCUUCACUCAUUCAUUUAUACGUCCUUAAAAACUCGAAAUGACCCCCUAGAAUCGAAUCAUGGAAGGUGUGAAGAAGAUUGGGUAUAAAUGAGGAUGUUUUAGGAAGCACCACCCUACCCUUGUAUAAUAAUCUUCCCUUUUUCCACUGAUAUUUGUUGGUUUCCUCAGGUUUCAUCUUCAACUUCUAAAUAAUUUGGGCAGCUGUUCCUGUCUUGAUAAAGCAUCCGCCACUUUAUUUGGGGGACUCGAUUGGUAGAGUAUUUCAAAAUCAUACUCGAGGAGUUUAGUUAACCAUUUUUGGAAUUGCGGUUGCACUUCCCUCUGUUCCAGCAAGAAUUUCAAAACCUUCUGAUCGGAAAUAAUGGUAAAUUUCCUCCUUAGUAGGUAGUGUCUCCAUUUUUGUACCGCAUUGACUACCUCUAUCAGCUCUCUUUCAUAUAUGGAUUUGGUUUGAGCUUGAGCCCUUGAUGAUAACUUUUGGCUAAAGAAUGUGAUUGGAUGGCUAUUUUGGGAUAACAUUGCCCCUAAGCCGAUUCUUGAAGCAUCAAUUUCACCAUAAAAGGGAGAGUCCAAUCAGGUAAAGCCAACACAGGGAGAGUAGUCAUAGCAAGUUUUAGUUUCUCGAAAGCAUGUGUGGCUUCUUCAUCCCAUUUGAAGUAAUUCUUUUGCAACAAUUUUGUCAACGGUGCUGCAAUCUCUCCGUAUCCUUUUACAAAUCUUCGAUAGUACCCCAUUAGGCCCAAAAAUCCUCGCAGACCGAUCACGUCUUUUGGCUGAUGUCAAUUUGUCAUGCUUUUAAUUUUCUCCUCAUCCGUUUCUACUCUUUUGGAAAUUUGAUGCCCUAAGUAUUGGAUCUUAGAGUGAGUUAUUACACAUUUCUUUCUAUUUGCAAAUAGUUGAUUGUCCCUCAAAACAGCAAAAACCAUUCCUAAGUGUUUCUCAUGCUCGUUGAUAUCAGCACUAUAUAUCAGAAUAUCAUCAAAGAAAACUAAUACGCAUCUUCUCAAGAAAGGUUUAAAUACCUAGUUCAUGAGAGAUUGAAAAGUAGCAGGGGCAUUAGUGAGGCCGAACGACAUUACCAUAAAUUUGUAAUGUCCCUCAUACGUCCUGAAGGCAAUCUUCUCUAUGUCUUCCUCCUUCAUUCGGAUUUGAUGAUAUCCCGAUUUCAGAUCAAGCUUCGAAGUUCAUCUAGUAAUUCUUCUAUAACUGGAAUGGAAAAUUUAUCAUAAGUCGUCACUUGGUUCAACUUUCUAUAAUCUACGCAGAACCUCCAUCCCCCAUCUUUCUUCUUUACGAAUAGGACUGAGCUGGAAUAAGGGCUAUGGCUUGGCCUAAUAACUCCGGUUGAAAGCAUUUCUGUGACUAACUUUUCAAUUUCUUCUUUCUGCACAUGACCGUAUUUAUAUGGGUGAACGUUAACCGAUUUAUGUCCGGGGAGUGUUAAUAUUUGAUGGUCAAUGGCUCUCUUGGGGGGCAAUCCCUUUGGUAUUUCAAAGAUGUCACCAUACUAUUCAAUAAUAACUUGAUCAAGGGUAAGUCUUCCUCACCCCCUCUCACUUCUUGUUCCUCUUCGUAUUCACUUUCUAAUUUAGUUUCAUAAUGUUGGAAGCCAUGGAGGAACCCUUGGUCGUCAUCUUCCCAUGUUUUUUUCAAUGUUUUCAAUGAGCAUUCAGCUUUAAUGAGGGUUGGAUAUCCCUUGAGAGUGAUUUGUUUCUCUCCCACCCGAAAUACCAUGGUUAGUGAAGGCCAAUGGACCUUCAUAGUUCCUGUAGUAUCUAGCCACUGCAUUCCCAAUACCACAUCUACACUUCCCAGUUCCACAGCUAAGAAAUCAGCAAUAAUAGUCAGCGUAUUCAGCUUUAGUUCCACUCUCUUACACACCCCUUUUCCUUUGCACUUGGUGUCGUUGCCAAUCGUGACCCCGAACAGAGUGCCCUCUUCUUUUAAGAUGUGUCUUUCUUCUACUAGAGCCUAGUGAAUAAAGUUGUGUGUCGCCCCACUGUCUAUCAACACUAUUACUGCCUUCCCCUUCACCAUCCCCAUCAGUUUCAUGGUCCCUUUUGAUGAAAAGCUAGUGAUAGUUCGUAGCUCAAUUUCCGCCCUUUUUGUAAGAUCUAGUUUUUUCAAUUCCACUAUCUCCUCUGUAUUUUCUUUCGAAUUUUCUCCUUCAUUCCCACCUUCUUCAUUGAGAAUGAAGAGCAUUAAUUCUCUUUUUUCUUUCAUUUUGCAUAUGUGACAGGGGUGUAUUUGUCGUUACAUCUAAAACAUAAGUCUUUAUCUAGUCUUGCCCGAAAUUCUGAAUCUGAUAGUCUUUUGACUAAUGGAUCAUUUUUCUGAUAGUUUCCCUUAAUUGGAAUGGUGACCUGUUUUAUCUGGAAUUCGGUCUUCCUCUAAGUGCCUUUCUCUACUCCCCCUUGAGUCUUGCUAAUGCUACUCUCAGUACCUUUGGGUUAUGUUAUCCCAAACUCUGCUCUAGCCAACUUUAAUGUUAGAUUGCGAUCAUUCACAAGUUGUGCCUCUUUCAUACACUCUUCCAAGGUCAGUGGAUGUCUACUAAUUACUUCUGCCUGGAGGGCAGGUUCCAACUCGGUUACAAAAGCAUCUCUCAACACACUUUCGGUCAUGUACGGUAGCAGGGCUGAGUAGUUAACAAACUUCUUUACAUACUCAUUAUAGGACCCCUCUUGCUGGAUGCGAAUCAGCCUAGCACUCAAAUUUUUUGGACCUGAAUCUUGAAAAAACUCAGACAUUUGUUCCUUCAAAUCUUCCCAGGAUGCCACCUUCUUACAGUUAUUACUCCACAUGUACCAAACAACCUGGUUUUGCCCAAAAUUGACCACAGCUACCUUCACCUUUUAUGUUUCUGGCAAGUUGUUGAUCUCAAAAGAAUGUUCAGCCCUAUAUACCCAUGAUUCCAAAUUCUCACCUAAGAACAUUGGCAUUUCCCACUUCUUAUAUUUUCUCUGAUCCACUGUUGCAUUGUUUCCUUCUGUCGUAGCCUAUGUUUCUUCCAUUUUCCCCUUGAGUUUCAACACGGAUCCGUCGAAUGUACCCGAUUCCUCCCUCUUCUUAUAACUAUUACUUUCCCUCAUCUCUUCUGCCAUUCGAUCCAUCGAUUUCUUCAUUUCUAACAUCAUCUCUUUUAGUCCCAUGAUCUCUUUCUCUGUCCCAUCCACUCUUUCUUCUAUUUGCCGCACAUAACAACCCCAGUUUCAAGGCUUUGAUACCAGUUGUGAGGUUACUAACUAAAUAACACAGAAAAUCACCCCAACAAUGUCCAAACAGAGACAGUCCUGCUAAUCUUUAUUUAUAUAUAAGCCAAAAGAUGAUUUAGAACCACAAUAUAACAACAAAAGAAACAUACCAGCUUCUCUCUAUAGAGCUAGAAUAUCUCUUGUCGGCUACAACAGCCUUUACACACUAAAGAUAACAAAAUGACCUCCUUACACUAAACCCUAGAAGGUCUAUAAAUAGCCUUCCUCAUAUUCCUCCUAUGGGCCCUACCUAUUCCUACCUUUUUUUCUUAAGACUAUUUCUCUCUCAUUAAUGUCCUGAUCAUUUACCCUUUUACCCCUUCUCUUAUAAGUGUGAAUUAUCGGUGGUCUUACAUAAAGAUAACAUCAUAGUUGAUUUACUCACAUCAAAUGAAGAGGAAAAAAGAAUCUCUACAAUCUACCAACAUAAUUUUGUAUUUAUUUAGCAUUUGAACUAUUGAUGUCAAUGUUGUUAUAAUAGAUGCUCACACUAGUCAAACGCAAAUGAAAGAGUUAUAUUAGAAAGCUCUAGUUGAUUUCUUCACAAACUUUGACCAUCACACAAGACCUUCCAUUUCAAAGUGUUAGACUUAGAGUCGAAAAUCUAACCGAAAAAACAAAGGUUGCAAUCUCAAAAGUCCAUGUUUUAGAUGCUAAGAAGCUACCCUCUAAAUCCCCCCAACUCACCCCAACCUUUGUAAUGGUUGCAACCCUUCGUUCUUGGGGAUUGCCUCAAAACUCACCAUAACCUUCUCCAAUAUUAACUUUCUCGCAAUCAAACUUUGUAAUGGUUGCAACCCUUCGUCUUGGGGAUUGCCUCAAAACUCACCAUAACCUUUUCCAAUAUUAACUUUCUUGCAAUCAGUUAGGUCUGUGAAUUCCAAAAUACAUGCUUACACAAAAUAUCCUUGAACUUCUCUUCCAAGUCCCUUUUGUAUUUCUUCCAAUUUCCCCAAGAUGAAAUGCUCCAAUACCAGUAUGUAAAGCAUUUCCUUCCAAUAUAUAUUGACAAGGAGAGGCGAAAAAGCAGAAAAAAUGAGAGGUUGGGAUGGGAGAAGAAAAAACAGUGUAGAAGUUCAAUUACAGAAAUUCAUUCAGUUCUAAACAAGUAAAGCUUUAUUCAGUCAAGCAACAUUCCAUUCCAAAGAUUAUGACAUCUUCCAUACCAAUUUAGUCAAAGCACAAAAAUGCCAAUUUUCUGAUUCCACAUACAAUAGAUCUGAUAAACAACUUGCAAUGUUUUCCCUUUACAUUCUCUAGUACUACAAAUCUUCUUGGCUUUUACUCGGUAGUUCUGAAGUUCAUGUCAUAAAUGUUAUUAUACAGACCACAAUAGUAAGUUACCGAUUAUGUGUGUUAGCUAGCCUUCUCUCCUUGGACUCCGUAUGCAUGCAUCGCCACCAUCGGAAUGCUGCACCCACAGGCUUCGACUCCUUUCUCCAUUUUCCCAUGUCUGUUGCCUCACACUCCUGUCAUUUGUGUCCCCACCAUCAGAGAAUUGAGCCCAUACGCUACGACUCUUGCCUCCUCCGCUAAGCUCCUCGUCUUCACACCCGGCAACUGUCUUCAAAAGCUCUGACUGUAGCAACGGGCAGUUUUCUUUGAGAAACUCAAACCCAUCGGAUUGCAUUACGGCUGCACCAAACCGUUGAGCAAUCAGACAUCGAAUAAUGAGAAGUUGUCCACAUCCAAGAUAAAGAGAAGAGACAUCUUCAAACAAUGCAUAUCGUAGUGCAUGUAAAAUGAUAAGGCAAAGCCGGAAUAGCACUUAUUUUAACAGAAAGCAUAACAGAAUACAGUCCCAUCCCGAAUUCAAGAAGCUCGAAAACUCAGUCUCAAAGCUCCUUUGCCAAAGUCUCAGUAACUCGUGACAUUUCGAAAUCAUGGCAACAGCCUAACAAAAUUAAGUUGCAAGGGUCCCCAACAAACACAAAAUCUCCUUAAAGCAUCAGUUAUUAUAUGCUUUAGAGAGAAGCUUUCUAACCUUGCUUUUAUGCUGUCUUUUAUCUUUUUGGUUCUUGAGUGGAUAAAUUUUCUUAAUUUCCUAAUAUAGUUGUUUUCAAAUAUAGCAAAAUGAACCAACUUAUUUAGAAAUAUAGCAGAAUAUCACUGUCUAUCAGUGAGACAUUGUGUUAUAUUUGAAAAUAGUUCCAAUAGUUUUGCCACUUAAUUACCCUAAUAACAAUGAUAAUAAUAAUAACCACGUAACUACCCUAGUGACUAGUUUUGCAGUUCUUCGUCCUAGAGGAUGUAUACCUGACCCUAAUAAUACUUCCUUUCAGAAAUAGUUUGUCCACUGAUCAGAUUGUUAACAUGAAAAAAAUAAUAAUUAAGAAAAAACAAAGGACGAAGAAGUUUCUGAUUUUCUGAGAUUCUUGGUCCCUUUGUGAAGUUAAAAUUCAGUAGUAGCCUGGGUUUCCUAAAAUAAAGUAAAAGGCAAAAAGGCCAAAAUUUGGGCAGACAACACUGCAUCAUCAAUUCAAAUCCUAUAUUAUCAACCAGCUCAAGACAGUAGAAAAACAGGAUUCAGCCACCAAGCAAACAUUUAUUCAAGAAGAUGCACACCAACAAUCACGAGUUUCUUCGACCAAUUGUAAGAUGUGAGGAAGAAAAAGCAGCCGGGCACACUGGCGCAAUCCUAAUUAAAAAAGUAAAAUGUCGCCCAAGUCACCUAAAAGACAAAUGUUCAGCAGACUGAUUCACAGAAACAAAUGCUCAGCAGCGUACACAAAUUUCAACUAUACCACUAUAUGUAUUAUUUCAGUCAUGUUAAUGUAAGAAAGAUUACCCGCAAGCACAAUGUUAUAAUUCUACUCCAUGUUAUUGAAUAUGCAAAGCUGCUGAAAUUGAUCCAUAGAAUGGUAAUUCUUCAAUGAAAAUCAGCCAAAAACAUACCAACAAGAUUUUCGGCGGUAAAUUUUAGGCAAACAGACUUCAAAUCAGCAGCGUGAUAGAGAUCAGCAAGGGCCAGAAUGUGGGAUACGGAGUUCACAGAUAUGUCCUUGCAGAGUACAGAUUCACACAUCAAUCUUAGUCUGGGCAAAUCAUAUUUAUCAGCAGCAGCUAACAGCUUUGCAGGUAAUGAAUCAGGCAAGGACGGAACUGAAGACGAGCUUGCUUCCAAGAACUCAUCAUCUUCUGGGAGAGUAUCCCUAUAAAUGAAAUGCAGCAAAGCCUGCUCAGAUGAAAUGCAAGAAACUGUCAGCAGAUGGGAAGAAGCACAUUAGACCUGCUAAAGAGUGGCUUAAAUAUUAGAAGUGACGAAAGUAACAGUUCCCAAGAAAAUUCACCUUGAAAACCCGAGGUUCCAUUUCUGUUAUAAGAAUUUCAUCAUUAUCCUCUUCCAUCAUGUUCACAAAAUCAUUCUCAAAAACAGGAGAGCGAGCAGCCAGUACUAACUUGUGAGCACGUAACUUUUCCCCAGACACAUUGAAAGUGAUAUCUGAACCCUCCUCAUUUUCCAGCAAUGUACCAAAAUGAGCUCCAAUAUCUGAUUCAGGGACAUGGAUGGAAUGUAGUCUUGAACUGUCUAUUCCGGACACAACAACACCAACAGUGCAAUUUAUUUUCAAGCAAUCAUCCUUGAGGAAAACUGAGGUUUCAAGUGAAGUCCUUCGGAAGAAGCGCUUGUAGCCCCUAGUAGGGAAGGAAAUAAUACAAUAAUUAAUAAUAAUAAAUGCAUAAACCAUAAAACAAGCUUGCAUACAAUUCCAUUUGGUGAAAGGAAAACCUUUUCACAGUUGCAAAUUUUUUAAUGUUUUAUUGAGAACUUUGAUAAUGGAUUUCAAACUAAAAAGAUUGUUUUUUUUUUUCAUAUAUUCAAUAGCGAGAAGAUGAUUAUGAAGCAUCAACUAUCUAUCCCAAUGUGUAUGUGUCCACACUAAUGUGAACAGAUAGUUUCUUGACCAAACUGGAUAUGUGUUUCAACAAAUGUCAAAUACAUGUUAUACAUAGUAGAAUACAGUCAACCACCUCACCGUCUAGGAAGUUAUUCCUAUAUUAGAAUAAUAAUCCAGCAACUUGAGAGAGAUUUCUUCACACUCCAUUUAUUGGACUCUAUUACAACAUAGAGAGACCAAGGGAAACAUAUUUAGAUUCCAGGGGCACUUUCUAAAAGGAAAAAGAAAAAUUACAUUGCCAGUACAACAACCACAACCCAAAAAUAAAGAUUUUCUUUUACCCAAAAAAAAAAAUUCCAUCAAGAACUUGCACCUAGAGAAGAAAUUCCAGAGGCACCUUCCAAUUGGAAUUCUCCUUCUUCAUAAUCAGCUCUCAUCCUCGAGGUUCAAUCUAAAUGCUAACAAUGGUCACAAACCAUGUGCAGUCUUCAUUUCACGCCAAACUUAGUUAGAGACCAAGGAAAUAUUUCAUGACUUGAAGAUUUCUCCAAACUCAAGCACCCAUGUACAUGUACUAAUAUGGAGAGAUCAAGCUCCACUCAACAAGAUCGGAUACAUCUUCCUCUGCCUUCCCAAAUUAAAUUACAUGAGCUUUACAAUCUCCUUCACCACUUUUCUAGGACCUUUAGCAAAAAAGCAUAGGAAAUUGAUCACGCUAGAAAGAACCCAUGAGCAAAAGUAAGGGGCCUCCUUUGAAAAGAUGAAAAUGAGCAUGUUUCCAUUUCCAUAGCUUUCUACAUAUUUUCACAGUGUUCACAUUCCAAUCAUCAAACUUCAACAAAUCUCUUCAAGAAGCAAUACAACUUCCUGAGCAGUUUAUUCUCUUUAAAGAGGCGCAACAGUCGGGCUUAUCAGGCCUAUGCAGUCACCAACCUAGCAAUAUUCUCACCCAGCCAUGCUUAACUGCACAGAUUGGUGGAGUUUGGUGCAUUAGAGCUGGUAUAGUAGCACCACUCUUCAGUCAAGAUUUACUUCAAAAAUAUGCUUAAAUUUCAAGCCACAUGAUACAGCCAAAGGAAAAGAUAGAACUACCCAGCUCAGAAGUUUUUCAUUGUUGGCAGUAAAAGCCUCCUAAGAUAUAUCUAGUAAGGAAAAUAGGGUGGAAGAGCCAAGUCACUUAAGUACCAUACUGGUUAUGAGACCAAAGGAAAAUGAGGUGUGGUUUUCCAAUGUGCUUAAGUAGCUAACACCUCAAAAGUCGGAUAUUGGGGUGGAAGAGCCAAGUCAUUUAAGGCCAUUCCAUUCUAACCAAUGGGGGACAAAGGCACUUCAUACUACCUUGGUUUCUAACAAUACUCCAUCCUCGAAUAGCAGACGUACUAGCGGCUACUCUAGCGGUACUUCACUUGGCCACACCAGACCAGAACGCUCUGCCAGUUCCACUCUAGAACAUCAACAACCGACCCUGAUACCAUUGUUAGGUAUUAAAGCACCUUGGAGAAUCACAUCCCAAAAACCAGCUUAUUAGGGUAGGAGAGCCGAGUCAUUAAGUACUACAUUGGUCAUCCCAUUCUAACCAAUGUGGAACAAAGGCAUCCAUAUUACCUUGGUUCCUAACAAAGUGCUACUAAAACGAUUACUUUCUCUAAAUGUUUGGAGGAGGCAAGAAAUUAAUGUGGGUUCAUCCUUCCCAGCUAAGGUUGUGUUAAUGAGACCAGGUGAUAAGGUGAUGCCACAAAUCACCAUGUGAAAAGACAUCUCCCACCUUUUUGGUCGGAUAGUUGAAAUCUAUGGUUGUUUCUCCCCUCGAGUAGCAAUGAAUUUCCAUGGUGACAACAAAAAUUCAUUGGACAUUCCUCGAAGACUGAAUGCUAGUGAAUGAAAGCAAAAGAAGUCACAUUAUGGAUGAAAGGUUGGGAAAAGAAACGCUAAUCGCUUGACAAAGAGAUUGUACUAGUGACCUUACGGAUCAAUUGGUUGUACCUUAACAAACAAACUUUGAAAUGACUUAUCCAUCUAAAGGGAGAAAUGGUUACCAACCUUUUAAUAAAAAACAAAAAUCCGCCAACAUAAACUUAGCUUAAAUGGUAUCUAUAUGUUCCCGACAAGAGGUCUCAGGUUCAAAUCUCCCUACUCCCAAGUUGUACUUAAAAAGGACCUUUUAAAAAAUAAAAGCCUUGAGAAAGAAGAGGAACAAAGGCAUAAAAAGAAGUAAAGGGCACGUAGCUUCUACAAUGGAAGGGAAAACGUCUCUUUUUCAGGUCGUGAAUGAUUCUUUUAUUAUCAAAGCUCUCCAGUUGCUAGAGAAGAUGAGUUUGAAAGGCCAAAAGAAUUAUAAUUAUAUAUAGUUAAAUUAGAAGAUGAUGACUUAGAGGUAAGUUGAUAGUUUUAGCGGCCACCAAUCCUACAGUGAAAUAAAAAUAAAUUAUCGGGAAGGUGAAUCUUCAACUAGCAGCCUAUUAUUGAUGCUCAAAGUAGACUUGAUUGUGAGUGAACUGGUUUCCUUCUUUGAGAAGCUUAAUAGAAACAGUGGCAUCCAUUAUAUUCCAUCCAACAUUGAUACAAACCCCGUUGAUGCCCAUAGUAGUUCCUUGUUAGAAGAUAUUUUUUCUAAAACUAAAGCCAAGGAAGCUAUGAUUUGGGUUUAAACAUAUCUCCAGGUCCAUAUGGGUUAGGUGCUUACAAAUGAGGUACCUUUUUUAAUAUGACAUUUUCAACUGUUGUAUGUACAAGUACAUUUUUCUUGUCCCUAAGAGAGUGCUACCAAAGUUGUUGAUUUCGGACCAAUAAGUUUGAUCACUGUUUUGUAUAAGCUUAAUACAAAAGUUUUAGCUAAGAGAUUGAAAAAGAUCCUUCAUCAAACUAUUAGUAGCAGCCAAUCAGCCUUCAUUAGGGAAAGGUAAUUCUUGACCCAUUUCUAAUUGCCAGUGAGUUACUUGAUCACUUAGUUACUAAAAGGAAGGUUAGCUCUUCAAGAUUAAUUUUUAAAAAGCUUACGAAAUGGUUGAUUGGGAAGAGCAAAAAGUUUUUCGAACUUGUGAGCUUGAUUGGAUCAAAACAUGCAUUACCAUCACUUCUUUCUCCACCUUGAUUAACGAUAGACCAAGGGAUUAGAUCCAUACUACUAGGGUUAAAGCAAGGCAAUAGAAAGGCUCACAUUUCUCACUUGAAGUUUGAUGACGAUGCUUUACUUUCUUCAGCCCACAACUACAUUAUGCUAAAUAAAUGAUGUCAGGAAAGAAAUAUCUUUAAACCUCUCUUGGUUGUUCUUAAUAUUGAAGGGAAUGAAGUUACCAGAAUCUCCUUGGAUUGGGGUUGCGUUGUUGACGUGUGGCCUCUUGAGUAUUUCGGGCAAGGUUCAGACACUAAAAGGAAAAUAAAGUACAAGGAAGAUGGAAUUCCUACUUGUCUAAAUGAGGGAGUCUUUCUCCUCUUGAAGCUACCUUAUCUAGUAUGUCUCCAUACACUAUACAUACUCCCUCUUUAAGAUGCCUGAAGAAGAUCUUUUGAAUUGGACAAACAAUGAGAGUUGAGUACAGUCAAAGGGAGCCACCUUACUCAUUGGAACACCCAGUGUUCGCCAAAAGUUUGUGGAGGCCUCAAGUUAGCAACUGAAUGAAGAAUAAUUCAGCUUUACUCACUAAGCGCCUAGAAGAUUUCUGGUUGAAAGAGACAAUAUUCGCCAUGAUAUUUCUAAAAGAAUAAUGAAAUGCCUUGUGGAUAGUUGAGUUCAUAUAUGUGGCUAAAAAAUGUGUGUUGGGAGGCCAUUCAAAAAACAUUUUGGUGUCGAAUGGGACGCUAUUAGCCAUAAAUAUGGUAAGUAUAGAUAAGGAUUUCUUCCUUUCAUCUCAAUAUUGAGGGGAAAAUGUGAUUUCUUUUGGGAAAGCGACGAGGGUAGCAAGCUAGCCGAUCUUGUAAGAUGGAAUUUAACUUCUAAAUCUCAAACGGAUGGAGUAGUAGAAGUUGGACUCAAAUAAAGAAAUAUGGCCCUUAAUCCCUUAUGUCUUCAUAAUGUUUUGUGGAUCCAAGGAAGUGAGACUGAUUAAUUCUUUUCUAAGGCUUGUUGGAGUCAAUUGCUAAGAACUUUCAAUUUGCAAUGCAUAACUCAUAGUUUCAAAUAGCGGAAUAGCUGUCAGAGCUAUAUCCUUUAUCUUUUCUCUUGGGUCUUCCUUACCUCUGAGACCGCAUUAUGCAAGUAAAGCUAUAAAUUCUAAAAUUUGGAUAGAAGGCAAUCAAAGAGUUUUCUAGAACAAACAAAAUCAAUGGUUUGUCAUCACAAUUGUGUUUCUUUCUAAACCAUUCUCAAAAUUUUCUUUGCAAAAUGUACUUAUAAAUUGCGAGGUUUUUUUUGUAUCUUUAAGCAUUGAUUCUUUUCCAUUAAUUCAAUGAAAAUUUUCAUUUGUUAAUAGGAGGGGGCAAAAAAAGUAGUUGUGCUUCGGUAAAUUGAUAGGUAAAUUAGCACACAAACUGGUAUGCGCACAUCACAUGGUUCCUCGUCAAUUAUACCACAAGUUAGUCAUUGUGGAUUCAACAGCUUCAGUAUGGGUCAAAACAAUAAUAGUUGUUGAAAGACCCACCUCGCUUCAUUUAGCAAUCAACACCAAUAUAAAAAGUAAAAAGAUCCCAAGGCAUAAAUUCCCGAUCUGAAAAUCUAAAACAUCCUUUACAUAAUAGUUAAUCGUUCUCUAAACACAUCAAAAUAAAUGAAAAUUGAACAAACACCCUGCAAUUAACCAAUACCCAUGAUUCUAAAUACGUUCACAGGCAACAAAAAGGCAAAGAGAAUUCUUACCACAUGCUACCUCUGUACUUAAGCGUGUAAGGUCCACUCUCAAGCGAGCGAUCAAAAUGACUAUGCACCUUGUGUUUUCCAUCACCACUCUGGUCCACCAAAGUGAGCUCAAACAAGGCACGAACAUCAGUGCCAUCGCUAGCCAAGGCAAUAAACACUGACACAUAAGCCGAAUUAUCCUCAGGAUUCUUACCAUCAGGAUAAAAGUAUAUAGCCCACUGAUAACCUCCGACGGAGAAAUUCUCGCUGGCAAUAUGCUUUCCCACACCGAUCCCCUUCGCGAGGGAAUAACCCUUGAUCACGAAGUUAUGGGAGCCAUUAAUAGUCUCUGUAACAGAACGGGAGCUGGUCGGAGAAGCUAAGGGGCUUUUAUUGGGUGAGUACAUCUUGUGUUAUGGAUGAGGAAAUGAGAUGUUCAUGGGGUUGAACGUGGAAGUGAAACCCUAGGUCGAGAAGAGGAAGAUGAAAAGGGAUAUGGAGUUUGUCAAGAUUUUGUUGGAGAUUUUACGAAGAAAAUGGAAAUGGUAGAAUGAAGAACGAAGAACGAAGAACGAAGAACGAAGAAAGGAUUUCUUUUGGUUUUGGAUUUUGUGGAAAUGGAGAAAUGAGUAAUUGCCUUUCAAUCUUCUUCAGCUGUGUCUGUCUCUUCUUUUUUCUUGGCAAUAAAGCAAAGGGGAAGAUCAAGAGUUCUUUUAUUUAUAUAUAUACACACUAGUCGGUAACAUGUUAUAUUUUUCAUUCUUUUUAUUAAAUAAAAAGAGUAAUUAAUUAAACAAAUAGUAUAAAACUAAUUUUAUUUACUUAUCAUUUUUUUAAAAUUCAAUUUACUUAUGAUUUUCUCGUACCUAAAAGAUAUAAAUAAUUUGAUAGUAUGAUUACGAAACAAUUUUCUCAAUCAAACUUUAGAUUGAUGAGUAGCUUUUUUUAUAUGUAUCAAUUACAUACCAAUGUUUAAAUGGAUUAAAAUUUUGGAUAUCAACAUUGACUUAAUUAUUAUUUGGAUGAUAAUUCUAUAUAUUUUAUGUAUUUCUACCCUGUUAAGAUGUAUAGUUAUUUAACAAAUUUCUAAUAAUUAUAAUUUGUUAUUUAUUUAAAUUAACAAUUAAUUUUGAAUAGAAUAUAUUAUUGAAAUAAUACAAAUAAAGAAUGACAAUUUUUUUCUUCGAUCUCUUAAUUAUAAGAUCCAUAAUAUACUAUGGUGGUAAGCACAUCCUAUAUCUUUACAUCGAAAGCAUACUUAAUUACAAAACAAUACUAAUAAUUAGAAGAAAAAGAACUAGUUCUUUGGUAUCUUCACGCCACUUUGUUAUUUCUUGGAAAUGACGUUUCUGAUCGUUCUCUUUUUAGUCUCUGACUUUUACAUUAUUCAUCUUUGAAUUCUCAUCAAUUUAUGUUUGCUCCUAGACAUUACAAAAAUCUAUAAAUGAAGGAAUGUACAUAAACAUAUCUCUAGAUUAAAAAAUAGGGAACAAAAUAAAAUUUAAAAAAAAUAGAAGAGAAUAAAAAACAUGAUUUACUUCACACCAUUAACUUUUUGUUGUAACUUGUGAACAUGAAUAGAAAAGAAAAAGAAUGGAUAUUUAUACCCAAAAAGAUUUUGAAAAAAAAUUUGAAAAGUUGAAAGGGAUAAAAAAUAAUAAUUAGUAUGAGAGAAGAGAAUAUGAAAAAGUGGGAGGUAGAAGGAUAUGAAUGGUUUUAUAAGAUAUUUACUUUGAUUUCACUAACAUUAAGUAUAAUCAAUUCAAAAAGUAGUGGGAGAGAAUGAGUUCCAUAAUUAAUUAUAUUAUCGAAAAUAGAACAAAAUUAAAAAUAAGUUUAUCAUAAAAUCAAAAGUGAUUUGGAACACAAAACUAAACUUAUGGAUAUAAAUUGGUGGAAGGUGAAUUCCUCUCGAUUUAAGAUCAUUAGCCAAGUAGCAAGGGACGUCUACAGCAUUCCUAUAUCAACUGUGCUUUCUGAGUUAGCCUUUAGCACUGGAGGACGAGUGUUAGAUUCUUUUUGAAGUUCAUUAACUCCUCAAACUGCAGAGGCACUCAUUUGUGCUCAGAAUUGGAUUCAAUCUAAACCUUUGGAUAACAUGACCGAAGAAAUUGAUGGGGUGAAGAAAUUGAUGAAGGUAAUAUUCUUUUCGAUGUAAGCAUUUAAAAUUUUAAAAAUAUAUCCCUACUCUAAGCAUUAAGCUAACAAUUUGUCAUUUUGACAUAGAAUUCAUAAACAUAGGAAAGGAGAUAGAAGGUGCAUUUGAGAAUCUGAAUCAUGACUCUAGGGUCUAAAUCCCUACUCUCAAAUCUUUAUUUAGAUCUUUUUGUUUUAAAUCGUUAACUUGUUAAAUAUUGAAUUUAUAUUGAAUUUUGUUUUUCUAGAAUCUUGCAGCAGAGUGAUAAUAUUAAUCAUUUGUUUGUAUAAAUGUGAAGUUCAAUGUACAUUUUAUGUGAAAAGUGAUAAUUCUAAGCUUCUUAUGUAAUUAAUUAAGUCUAUAUAUUUAAAAUAUAUGAGUUAAGUCUAAAUAUUUCAAACUUAAUCCAUAACUCUUCAGCUUACAUUUUCUGUUACAUUCUUAAUCCAACUAACAUUUACAAAAACUAGGAGAUUCAUGGCUCAAAUUAGGGAACCCUAACUUGUACUCCAAAAAAAUAAUAAUUACAAUUUGGAUGCUAGAACAUCUUAAAAUCACAUAAAUUAA
rnacentral:lncRNA from 1 species